rnacentral:RNase_P_RNA from 1 species
UGAGGCUGCUGGUUGAUCGCUAUCGUCUGAUAAGAUAAUAGAGGAAAGUCCGGACUUCUUGUAAGCAAGGUGCCAGAUAACAUCUGGCGUUAAAGAUUGGAAAGUCUUUAAUAGGGAAAGUGCAACAGAAAAUAUACCGCCGUAAAGGUAAGGGUGAAAUGGUGCGGUAAGAGCGCACCGCAUAGAUUGGCAACAAUCAUGGCACUGCAAACCCCACCUGAAGCAAGACCAAAUAGGAAUGGAUAAGGGAGCUUACACCUGCAUGCUAUUCGGGUAGGUCGCUUGAGCUUGUCGGUGACGACAAUGCCUAGAUGAAUGAUCAAACAUGGGAUAUUUCCAGGACAGAAUCCGGCUUAUAGGUUGCCUCAUACU